CAGGUGUGACCACAUGCCUGCCCCGCCUGUGUGUCCUUCCUUAAUCCCUCAGGGAGGAGGGGAUGGCACAAUUCCUGCGUGCUGCUGGGCAGUGCUGCUCACGUGGAGCUGGAGCUGCUCCGCACCGAGAUGAUUUCCUGAGCCGGAGCCUCCCCUGGGAGCUGGAGUGGAUCCAGGAGAGGGUUAUUCCGGAUAAUUGCCCUGCUGGAGCUGCUCGUGUCCAGCUCUCUAGAAACACAUCCCGGCGUCUCCAUGGAAGGCUCCAGAAAGAGAAAGCCUGGAAGUGUUGGUUCACCUUGGAAUUUCUAUAAUUCUCUGAGUGCGAUGGCCAGAAAAGCCUGGCUUAUCCAUUUAUCCCACCAACAUCAUGGAAGUGCCUUUUGAUCCUGCUUUUUUUGUUGUUCCAGUGCCACAUUGAAGAACCAUGAGUUGAGUAUUUCUGGUGCUGCCUUUCACUGACCUGAGGAUGGAACAAAGAUUAGGAAUUACCAUUUUCAUCAAAAUUCGUGUUCAUUUUGAAAAUAAAUCAGAUUUUUCACGGUGUGUCUGCA
rnacentral:lncRNA from 1 species